rnacentral:rRNA from 1 species
AAACAUAGCCUUUAGCUUAACAAGUAUUAAAGGUUCCGCCUGCCCAGUGACUUCUUAAACGGCCGCGGUACCCUAACCGUGCAAAGGUAGCAUAAUCACUUGUCUCUUAAAUAGAGACUCGUAUGAAAGGCUAAAUGAGGGUUUUACUGUCUCUUACGAUUGGCCAAUGAAGUUGAUUUACCAGUACAAAAGCUGGUAUUAUUCCAUAAGACGAGAAGACCCUGUGGAGCUUAAAAAUCAAAACAUAACAAUGUCCACUGAGUUUUUAGUUGGGGCGACUUCGGAGCACAAAAAAACCUCCAAAAACAACCACACUUAAUAAGAAAUAUGCUUCAAAUUAGGUAAAAUAGACCCAUAGGCCACCCAUAAAUACCUAUGAUUAAUAAACCAAGUUACCCCAGGGAUAACAGCGCCAUCCCCUUCAAGAGUCCUUAUCGACAAGGGGGUUUACGACCUCGAUGUUGGAUCAGGACACCCAAAUAGUGCAGCCGCUAUUAAAGGUUUGUUUGUUCAACAAUUAAUAGUCCUACGUGAU